UAUGUACUCCCUCCGUCCCUAAAUACUUGUCGGAGAGAUGGAUAAAAUUGGAUGUAUCAUUAAUUAGUAUAUGUCUAGAUACAUCCAUUUUUCUGACAAGUAUUUCCGGACGGAGGGAGUAUGAA
rfam:Triticum aestivum genome assembly, contig: Triticum_aestivum_CS42_TGACv1_scaffold_500078_6BL